rnacentral:lncRNA from 1 species
GGAGUUCCAGUGGGCUUUUAUUGAGAUAAAUUAACAAAAACCAAGAUUUUAUCAACCAUUUUUUUCCUGAACCUUAUAAACUCGGCAGACUCUGGUCCAUAUAUAUGUGUACAUACAACAUAACACAUCCCAACAAAAACAGAGUCCCACUGGAACAUUUGCCAAUUAACAGAAAGCCAAUUUUCCCUUUCCCCAAAUGUUUUCAAAAUUUUGAGUCCCCACUGUUCAUUUCUCAGUGGAACUGGUCCCUUGUGGCUAGGGACAUUGGAAUUCUACCCCAUUUUUACUAAACAAAAAUAAUUUUUUUCAAGUUUUAGUUUUGUUUCAAAAAAGGGAAGUGACUUUGUUUUCUCCAGGCACCCCUCCCCCACAACCAUUGGUUAAAAUACAGAAGCCUGUAUCUUAAUAACCCAGCCCUACCCCCUCCCUUGCCCUGCCCAGUACUGUCUACUGGAGAAUUUAAACACACUUCUGCUGGAAUCUGUCAGCUGUGGAGGGGCAGAGUCCAGGUGCCAGGCUAGCUCCCUCUAACCUCAUGAACUGUUGUAACCUUUGGACACUUAACUCUUUACCCCAAAGAUGAGUUUUUAGACCAGAGAUUUUUUGGGGGGAGUUUUAAAAAACAUAUCUUUAAGGAUAUAAAGUAGAACUAUAAGCUCACCAAAGUCCACUUAAUUUCACCAAAACAUUGACGGACUUCAGCUCCCAUGAAGCCAAAAAUUUUGUUUGACAAAAGUAUUUUGUCAGAAAAUGAUUCCACAGUAACAAUUUUUAAGAUACACAGAACACUGAAAAAAGUAAAAUAGGCAAAUUAAAAAAUAAAUGGCUUAAUUCCCAAAAAUCAUUUCAUCUUUUUGUACUCAUCUAGAAGGUCAGGAGUGUGGCUAAAGGCCAUUUCUGAUGAGGUUAUGAGUUUCCAAAGUGUUUCUAAAUCCUUAGUGCAGACACCCUCCCUUUUGGGGCAUAGUAACCUCCCUCCCACCCCUAUUAAAAAAAAAAAAAGAAAAGAAAAAAAAAACCCAAAUGAAACCAAGUGAUCAGAAUGAGAUGUUUUGAUUCCAACAAAUUUACACUCAAGGCUUUGUGUUGAGUUGUCUGGUUCUAACCCAAGCAUGAUGGUAUCAAACACAAAGCACACAGCAAAGGAAAGAUGCUCCCAUCUCAUUCUGAAAACAAAUACUGAUAACCAAUUCCUCCCCCCGCCCCCUAGCCAUUGGGGCCCACCCAUAUUAUGAUGCUGGGGCCAACGUGAAAAUAAUUGAGAAAUAGAUUUAGAUUUGCUUCUCCCUUAGAUUAUUCUGUUCCCAAGGGAAAGACAAGAAAGUUUCUCCGUUGGAAUGUAUGGGAAGAGAAAAACAAAACACAGGCCCAGAGGCAGCAAGGUGUGUAACAGUCCAUAACCCAUUACACAACUACAACCACAGGCAAAACCGCGAGUUGGACAUAAUUUAAAUAUUAAAAAUAGGGAAAAGUUUCAUCCAAAUGAAUCACCGGAAAAAAUAUUACCAUUACUGAAAACAGACACCCAAUAGUGGAAAGAACACAAAAACAAUUUCUAAUAACAAUGCUUCUUAUAGUGAGGGGGGACUUAAAAAAAAAAGAAAAAAAAAAAAAAAGA